UAUAAACUUCAUCACUCUAUAAAACCACAUCAAGAAAAAAGAAGAUAGAUCCAAAUAUAUCUUUCUGUUUUCCUCUGUAUAUUCAAUUAACAAAAUGUCGAUAAGAAGAUCAAUUCUUGCUAGUGUUUUUCUAUUUGUUACAUUCAUAACAACCUCUGUAGCACAGAGUUCUACAACUUCUGAUCAAUGUGCCUUUUUUUACUGCAAUGAUAAUCCAGUAUUUCGUGUGAUUAUGGUGAUAAAAUUUGUUGUGGGAUUCUCAAUCUUGAUUGCAGUAGUGGUGUGGCAGUGCAAAAGACGUAAUUUCAACACAUGGAAUGAUAAUUUGAUGAAUAGAGCAUCCUCCUCCUACGAACAAAACUGUUAACUUUUACUACUGUUUCCCUUUUUUUUUUUUUUUUUAUAUAUAAUAUAAAAGAUACAAUUGUCCCAUCAUAUCAUAUCCAAAAAUGAUUUCUAGAUUUAGCUUUGAUUUUCAAAUUAACAGCUAGUUCAACUCAUUUUGACACUAAAAAAAAUGAGGUUUGUGGUAUUGUAAUUUUAUUUCUGUA